GAAAAGAAAGAAAGUAAGUGAGCUAAUUGUUUAAUUACUUUUCGGAGUUUACAUUUUGACUUGAUUCCUAUUUCCCACCUUGGACUACUGACCAUUGUUUACCCCUUGUGAUUAUUGUGGCUUGUGUGCAGGUCAUUUAUCUCAUUGCAGAACACCAUAGGUUCAACUCUUACCAAAUUUACCUACCCUUAUCUAAUCCCCAUUACAACCCUUAUA
rnacentral:lncRNA from 1 species